AUUGAACGCUAGCGGGAUGCUUUACACAUGCAAGUCGAACGAGUGGCGGAAGGGUGAGAAAUAUAUCUGCCCGUGCCCAGUGGCUGGCGAUACCUACUCGAAAGAGUGACUAAUACCGCAUACUAUUGGAGAGGCCGCUAUCGGAUGAGCUAGUUGGUGGGGUAAAGGCUCACCAAGGCCACGAUCCGUAGCUGGUUUGAGAGGAAGACCAGCCACACUGGGACUGAGACACGGCCCAGACUCCUACGGGAGGCAGCAGUGGGGAAUUUUGGACAAUGGGGGAAACCCUGAUCCAGCCAUCCCGCGUGUAUGAGAAGGCCUUCGGGUUGUAAAGCACUUUUGGCAGAGAAGCGGUAUCUGCAGAAUAAGCACCGGCUAACUACGUGCCAGCCGCCGCGGUAAUAC
rnacentral:rRNA from 1 species